UACACUAUGAAUUUUGUUAUUCAUAUUUACUCAAUGUAAAUACUGUUAGAUGUUCCGUGGUGGCGGUCGUGGUAGGGGUCGUGGCGUGGUCGUUCGCUUAUGGACGAUGUUGAUGCUCAGCACCCAGGCAUACACUUCCAUCAAGAGGUUGGCUUGCCACUGGGUGAUCCAACGCGCGGAUCAAUUCCUAAUGUUCUUAUCAACCUUGUUACAUGGCUUCAAGAUGUUGUCGAAGGUUUGGGUGGUACUACUUUUGUGUCUCGACAAGAGCUUGUUCGGUUUGACUUGGAUGGGUGGAUAGCCACAUUUUAUAAGAAGUUGCAAGUUUCAAGCAAAGCUCUCCUUCUGCAGGGCAAGUCAGUCGAACACUCCAUUGUUUGACAUUUGUAGUUCUGUCUGUGGCAAUGAAUGGGAAGCGGAGGAGAGUGCACUUGUUCGUGCACUAGAAUAUUUUGACGAAGUUCUAGGGUGGAUGAUUGGAGACCGCAACUAUCUUAUCUAUCUACGGAUGCAAGCAAUACAGUAGCUACAAAUUUGUAAUAUGCAUGGAUGUAUAGCUACUAUUGUCAUUGAACAGCUUGUAUUGCUACUCCUUUAUCUUCUGAGAUUUUAUUUGAUUGCAUUGUUAUUUGAGUGUU